rfam:Oryza glaberrima chromosome 4 Oglab04_0237_2, whole genome shotgun sequence.
AAUAAGUGCAGUUUUAUACUAUUUAUCUCCAACGUUUGACCGUUCAUCUUAUUUAAAAUUUUUUUUAUGUUUACUAUUUUUAUUGUUAUUAGAUCAUAAAACAUGAAUAGUAUUUUAUGUGUUACUAAUUUUUUUUAAAAUUUUUAUAAAUUUUUUAAAUUAGACGAGCGGUCAAAUGUUAGACACGGAUUUCUACAGCUGCACUUAUU